rnacentral:rRNA from 1 species
GACGAACGCUGGCGGCGUGCUUAACACAUGCCAGUCGAACGGAAAGGCCCUGCUUUUGUGGGGUGCUCGAGUGGCGAACGGGUGAGUAACAAGUGAGUAACCUGCCCUUGACUUUGGGAUAACUUCAGGAAACUGGGGCUAAUACCGGCUAGGAGCUCCUGCUGCAUGGUGGGGGUUGGAAAGUUUCGGCGGUUGGGGAUGGACUCGCGGCCUAUCCGCUUGUUGGUGGGGUAGGGGCUUACCAAGGCUUUGACGGUUAGCCGGCCUGAGAGGGUGACCGGACCCAUGGGUACUGAGAUACGGCCCAAACUCCUACGGGAGGCAAGAGUGGAGAGUGUUGCACAAGGGGCGGAAGCCUGAUGCAGCAACGACGCGUGCGGGAUGACGGCCUUCGGGUUGUAAACCGCUUUCGCCUGUGACAAUGCGUGAGUGACGGUGAUGGGUAAAGAAGCACCGGCUAACUACGUG